rnacentral:rRNA from 1 species
AAAUGAAUAGACGGGGGCCCGCACAAGCGGUGGAGCAUGUGGUUUAAUUCGAAGCAACGCGAAGAACCUUACCAGGUCUUGACAUACUCGUGCUAUCCUUAGAGAUAAGGAGUUCCUUCGGGACACGGGAUACAGGUGGUGCAUGGUUGUCGUCAGCUCGUGUCGUGAGAUGUUGGGUUAAGUCCCGCAACGAGCGCAACCCUUAUUACUAGUUGCCAUCAUUAAGUUGGGCACUCUAGUGAGACUGCCGGUGAUAAACCGGAGGAAGGUGGGGAUGACGUCAAAUCAUCAUGCCCCUUAUGACCUGGGCUACACACGUGCUACAAUGGAUGGUACAACGAGUCGCCAACCCGCGAGGGUGCGCUAAUCUCUUAAAACCAUUCUCAGUUCGGAUUGCAGGCUGCAACUCGCCUGCAUGAAGUCGGAAUCGCUAGUAAUCGCGGAUCAGCACGCCGCGGUGAAUACGUUCCCGGGCCUUGUACACACCGCCCGU